rnacentral:misc_RNA from 1 species
ACGAACAGAAAGGACUGUCGCAUUCCCCUAUGCACGUCCUUUCAUCUUCUCUACACAUACACCUGUGCACCCUUUGUAGGCUCUCGAAAGAGUGGUCUACGUUCUAAACGUACCCUAUGUACUACUAUACACAUUUCAAAGGCCAGAAUGUCGAACCAAUUA